rnacentral:rRNA from 1 species
CCUACGGGGGGCUGCAGUGGGGAAUAUUGCACAAUGGGCGCAAGCCUGAUGCAGCCAUGCCGCGUGUGUGAAGAAGGCCUUCGGGUUGUAAAGCACUUUCAGCGGGGAGGAAGGCGGUGAGGUUAAUAACCUCAUCGAUUGACGUUACCCGCAGAAGAAGCACCGGCUAACUCCGGCCAGCAGCCGCGGUAAUACGGAGGGUGCAAGCGUUAAUCGGAAUUACUGGGCGUAAAGCGCACGCAGGCGGUCUGUCAAGUCGGAUGUGAAAUCCCCGGGCUCAACCUGGGAACUGCAUUCGAAACUGGCAGGCUAUAGUCUUGUAGAGGGGGGUAGAAUUCCAGGUGUAGCGGUGAAAUGCGUAGAGAUCUGGAGGAAUACCGGUGGCGAAGGCGGCCCCCUGGACAAAGACUGACGCUCAGGUGCGAAAGCGUGGGGAGCAAACAGGAUUAGAUACCCCAGUAGUC